AUGGGGAUAGCAUGUAAAUGAAGUCUCAACAUUUUCUUCGUAUCUCAGUCUUUACCAGAUUUAGGAGUAACAAGGCAGCUCUCACAAGAUGCUACACAGAUCAAACAGAAAGGUGGAUAUUUGGAGAGAACAGUCUUCUCCCACUGAUGAGUUGGAGGAAAAUAUUUAAGAGGCUGCCAUGGGAUUUCAGUCCUAUUCCAUAUCCAAUCCACUAUAACUUAGAAGAAAAUUCACAGUUCUUGCUCAUCUAAUUUUCUGAGAGUAAACCUCGAGACCAAUCCAGAAAUAAAUUGCCAAACUUCUAUCAAAUAAUUCAAAAGAAGACCCAGGACUCUUGAUGAUACACUUGAGGUCACUAAAUAUGAAAGAUGAUAGCAUCUUGGAAGGCAACAGCAGAGGAAAGGAGAAUUUUCACAGGGAAGAGGAAAGAGUUGGUGAAAGUGAAAUUGCUUUAACAAAAUAAUGAUCUCUAUACCUCCUACUCAAACUGUGGUUUGAAGGACAGUAUCAUCAGCAUCACUUGGAGCUUGUGAGAAAUUUAGAAUUUCAAGGUCCCCUCGACCCCAACUUACUGGUGCAAACUCUGUAUUGUAACCCGAUCCCCAAGGUGAUUCUAGUGUACAUUAAAGUGUGAGGGUCUUGUUGUUAUGAACAGAUUCUUAUAGUGCUGCAAUUUAGAAUAUCUUUUAAGAAUUAUGAAGACAAUUUUGUGUCUCUUGUAUCUGAAAUAAGUAUUAAAGGCAAAAUAUAUAUUG